CUGAAGAAAUGGUAGGGUUGAUGCUGGCUCUUUGGAGUAUGUGCUCGCUCUAUCGCUCCUUCUACUCUCCACUGUGCACCUUUUGUAGGCUUGCAAUAUGGGAAGAAGUGCUCGCACACACAUUGUGUUUGCUUGCCUUCGACUUUUUGUAGCCUAUGUCCAUAUACACUCUAGUAUUCUUGAAUGUGUAUUGUUGGUCUUUGACCGAUAAACCUUAUA
rnacentral:misc_RNA from 1 species